CUCAGCGCUGCCCCUCCGCUCCCUGUGAGGAGCUGCAGCCGCCAUGAGGCCUCCCCUCAGCUCCUCUGCUCUGGGCUGAGGAAACCCAGGGGCCUCAGCUGCUCUUCGAUUUUUGCAAAGAGCUCAUCUGAGGAAGAGGGAAACACCCCCAGAACUUCAAAAAGGGUACACAGGCAUCCUGCAGUUGCACACUGAAGCACAAAUGACAAGAAACCCUGUUUGCCAUGCCACUGAAGGCAUUUAGAAACUGAGCAUAAUCUGUUUUACCUAUAUGGCUGUGCUCAAGCAGAUCAGCAUCGUGCUGGCAGGACCAAGAUCCGCAGCAUCGUCUUG
ensembl:lncRNA